AUACGUAGGUGGCAAGCGUUGUCCGGAAUUAUUGGGCGUAAAGCGCGCGCAGGUGGUUCCUUAAGUCUGAUGUGAAAGCCCCCGGCUCAACCGGGGAGGGUCAUUGGAAACUGGGGAACUUGAGUGCAGAAGAGGAUAGUGGAAUUCCAAGUGUAGCGGUGAAAUGCGUAGAGAUUUGGAGGAACACCAGUGGCGAUGGAGAAUGUCUGGUCUGUAACUGACACUGAGGCGCGAAAGCGUGGGGAGCAAACAGGAUUAGAUACCGUGGUAGUCCACGCCGUAAACGAUGAGUGCUAAGUGUUGGGGGGUUUCCGCCCCUCAGUGCUGCAGCUAACGCAUUAAGCGCUCCGCCUGGGGAGUACGGUCGCAAGACUGAAACUCAAAUGAAUUGACGGGG
rnacentral:rRNA from 1 species